rnacentral:rRNA from 1 species
GUCUUUUUGAGUAUAAUUUAAAGUCUAAUCUGCCCAAUGAAUUUUAAAUGGCUGCGGUAUUUUGACCGUACAAAGGUAGCAUAAUCAUUAGUUUUUUAAUUGAAAGCUAGAAUGAAUGAUUGAACGAAAAAAUUUCUGUCUCAAUUUAAUUUAUUUAGAAUUUUAUUUUUAAGUUAAAAAGCUUAAAUAUUUUUUAAAGACGAGAAGACCCUAUAGAGUUUUAUAAUUUUAAAAUUUUAAAUUUUAUAAAUUAAUUAGUUUUAAAAUUAUUUUAUUGGGGUGAUAAUUAAAUUUAAUAAACUUUAAUAUUUAAAAUCAUAAAUUUAUGAAUAAUUGAUCCAUUUAUAAUGAUUAAAAGAUUAAAUUACCUUAGGGAUAACAGCGUAAUUUUUUUUAAGAGUUCUUAUCGAAAAAAAAGAUUGCGACCUCGAUGUUGGAUUAAAAUUAAAUUUUGGUGUAGAAGCUAAAACUUUAAGUCUGUUCGACUUUUAAAAUUUUACAUGAUCUGAGUUUAAACCGGUGUGAGCCAGGUUGGUUUCUAUCUUGAAAUACUUUAAAUAUUUUAGUACGAAAGGACCAAAUAUUUAUAAUAAUUAUUUUUAUUUGAAUAA